rnacentral:rRNA from 1 species
CCUACGGGAGGCAGCAGUCGAGAAUCAUUCACAAUGGGGGAAACCCUGAUGGUGCGACGCCGCGUGGGGGAAUGAAGGUCUUCGGAUUGUAAACCCCUGUCAUGUGGGAGCAAAUUAAAAAGAUAGUACCACAAGAGGAAGAGACGGCUAACUCUGUGCCAGCAGCCGCGGUAAUACAGAGGUCUCAAGCGUUGUUCGGAAUCACUGGGCGUAAGGCGUGCGUAGGCUGUUUCGUAAGUCGUGUGUGAAAGGCGCGGGCUCAACCCGCGGACGGCACAUGAUACUGCGAGACUAGAGUAAUGGAGGGGGAACCGGAAUUCUCGGUGUAGCAGUGAAAUGCGUAGAUAUCGGGAGGAACACUAGUGGCGAAGGCGGGUUCCUGGACAUUAACUGACGCUGAGGCACGAAGGCCAGGGGAGCGAAAGGGAUUAGAUACCCUAGUAGUC